rnacentral:lncRNA from 1 species
UUAUUUUUAAAAAUUAUUACUAUUUUUUAUUAUGUCACAUUGUAGCCCCAGUAGGAGUUAUUUUUCUUUUAAAGAAAUGUUUGGAUUAGGCAAAAACAUACUACUUAGAUUUUAAUGCCGUAUUUUAAACUGUGACUUAGAUAAUUCUCUUAUAAGGGGGAAUUAAUUAUUCUGGAUAUUGAUUGGUUGAUAGUGAUUUUUAAACUGUGUGUCUCUGAGGUGCCUCAGAGCUACAGCUUAAAAUUUGCAGCUUUAUGGCAUUUGUCUAGGAUGUAACAGGAAGAAAAUGAAUGUGCUAAGGAUCACAUUUGGUAUAUAUCUCAAGUAUAUUCUUAUCACCUUAUAUGGCAAAAUAGCGAAUAUUACUGUAUAUAGCAAAAUAAAUCAGUUAAAAAUCUGGAGAAGAGGGACUUACCCUGCAUUAUCUUGGUGGGUCCUUAGAGUGGUAGAGGGAGUUUUUAAGACAGAAGAUGGUGAGGCAGUUGGACUGUGGAGGCAUAGAUUAGAGUGACGUGGUCACAAGCUAAGGAACACCUGAAGCCACCAAAAGCUUGAAGAACAAGGAAAGGAUUACCUCCUGGAACCAUUGGAGGGACCCUGGCCCAGCUGGCACUUUGAUUUCAGCCCAGUGAAAGUGAUUUUGAGCUUCUGGCCCCCAGAACUAUGAGAGGAACAUUUUUGUUGUUUUUUGUUCCCCCAGUUUGUGGUAAUUUGCCACUGUGUCUCCAGGGAACUACUGCACUUUGUAAUGAAACAAAUGUAAAAAUAGAGUGUAAAUAUAAAAUAAACCAACCAUAAGAGAAAAGACUUUACAAAGAGAUUGAAACUUUUUUUAAAAAAAGAAUAUUGUUUUCAGUGAGGAUGAGGAGGUAAUGAGACAGCUGAGCUAUCUGCUGUGAAAGUGAAAAGUAAAUUGGCAGUAUGGAACAAGAUUAUGCAGGCAUUGGAAAUUACAUUUAAACAAUAUUUAAGGUAAAAAAAGACUACUUUUUAAUACUAAGUGAAAACUACUUAAAAAUUUACUUACAUUAUGAACCAAAUUUUAAGUAUCUAUUUCUAGGGAAAAAAGUGAAAUAAAAAAAUACAGUCUGUGAAGUUAAUUUUCCUUUGUUUAAACCUUGCUUUUCCACUUAGCUGUGUGACCUGAGAAAAUUUCUGAAGCUUUUGGGGCCUAUGUUCUCAUCUACAAGAUGAGGAAAGUAAAACAAUGUGUAUCUUACGAAGGACUAAAUAUAUUAAUAUUUUCUAAGCACUCAGGACAAUGCCUAACACUUUGUAAAGUUUCAGUAUUUGUUUUAUGUUUAUCAUAACUGUUGGAAUAAAAUGUAAAAAUCUAGGAGAAUUCUUUACUCCAAUUACUUCAGAAAACUUUUCCUUCUUUCUGUACUUAAAAUAUAGAAACUGGAGCUCCCCUUUGAAAAUGGCAGCUUGAGAAGUUGCACAGACCUGCUCCACAGCAAAACAAACAUAAUUGGUAAAAACUAAUUUUUUAAAAAAAAUAAAAUACUGGAAAUUGUCCUACAGACACUCAACAAAUGAAGAAACACAUAUUUAAGAAAAUCUAAAACUUGGUCAGAGCAGUAAGUCCUGCACAUGAACUAUGACCCACUCUGUUAUGGUUUGAAUGUUGUCCCCUGCAAAACAGGGUUGAAGUUUAGUUGCCAUUGCAACAGUAUUAAGGUGAGACCUUUAUGAGGUGAUUAGGUCUUAAGGACUCUACAGAUCCCAAUGAGGGGAUACCAUAUUUCACUGGGAGAGCAAACUGCUAGCCUUUAUCAUCCCCUCCAGCUUUAAGUUACAGAGGCUAAACUCCUGGUGAGGAUGCCGGUGUGGUCGGAGGUUCUCUUCCUCCACCCAGCCCCUAUGCAUAGGGCAGAGUUUCUACUCCAGGUGUAGCAAGCCUAGAAUACUGGGGCUCCAAUCGCCCUCACCCCACCUUGCUUGUAAGGUGCAGGUCUGUGCAGCUUCUGAAGCUGCCAUCACCUUGCUUGUAAGGGAAAGAAGUUCAACACUGGGAAGGGCAAGCCAAGAAUAUCAAAGACUACUACCCCUACCCAGCCCCCAGAGCAGUGGCUGAGAGAUUUUGCCCACUGAGAGAAGCAGUCUGUAAGAACAGAGAACUCCAGAAACCCUCCCCAAAGGAAUUGAUUUUAUUUGAAGCACAGUGUGGGGAAAUUUAAGCCUAAGGAUGCUUUCAGAAACAAUAGAGGCUUUGGUGGUAAGCAAAUAAGAGCCGACUGCUAGCUUUUAAGAGCAGCAGGCUAAACAUAGGCCAACUAGUUCUCAAAAGAGAAUCAGAGAAGGAGCUAAGAAGAGCCCUCCUUCUUGAGGGAUCAGAUCAAACCUCAAAGACUGGCCAAAGAACCCUACCCCCACAAUUUAUUUGGGUGAGAGUGUGAAGCAGUUUAUACUCUAGAACAUUGUUGAAAACAAUAGAGCUGGCAAUUACUUGAAGUUACACAGCUGAGCGGGAUACCAGAUGAGGCAAAAGAGAGAUGAGGGAAAGAGACAGAGAGUCCUGCUAACAUGACACUGUCAUUCCUGGUAACUGUGUGCAUGCCCAGCGCUGACCCUCUGAGGAGUAGCACCAAAGGCUUCACGCUGCAGGAGAAAUAGACUUCCCACAAUCGUCAAAUUACUCAACAAAUAAGCAGCAAAGACAAGCCCAGAAAGGUAUCUUCAGUUGACUCAAUAUAUUACCUAAAAUGUCCAGGUUUGAGCAAAAAACUGACACGUGCAAAGAACCAGGAAAGUGUGCCCCAUACACAAGAAAAACAGUAACAGCAAAUUAUGAAAGUACCCAGAUGUGAAAUUCAACAGAAAAACUUAAAGGGCAGAGGAAACCACGCUUACAGAAGUAAAGGAAGGUGUGAUACGCUGCCUCAUCAAAUUGAGAAUAUUGGUAAAGAGAUAGAAAUUUUAAAAAAAUUAUAAAAAAGAACCAAAUAGGAAUUCUAGAGUAAAAAGUAUAAUAACUAAAAAAAUUUACUAAAGGGGCUCCACAGUAGAUUUCUUUCUUUCUUUUUUUUUUUUUUUUUGAUCUUGGCUCACCGCAACCUCUGCCUCCCAGGUUCAAGCAAUUCUCCUGCCUCAGCCUCCUGAGUAGCUGGGAUUACCGGCAUGUGCCUUCACAUGUCUGUAAUUUUGUAUUUUUAGUAGAAACAGGGUUUCUCCAUCUUGGUCAGGCUGGUCUCAAACUCCCGACCUGAGGUGAUCACCCACCUUUGCCUCUCAAAGUGCUGGGAUUACAGGCAUGGGUCACUGCGCCCAGCCAGUAGAUUUCAACUGGCAGAAGAAAUAACUAAUGAGCCUGAAGGUGGAUCGGUAGAGAUUAUGCAAUUCAAAAAGUAGAAAAACAAAGAUGUAAAAUGAACACAGCCUCAGAGAAAAAUAUGGACAUCAUUAAGGGCCCUGACCUAUGUAAUGGAAGUACUAGAAGGAGAGAGGGAAGAAAAAGUAAUUUAAAAAAUUUAAAGAUGUAGCUAAAAACUUCUGAGAUUUGAUAGAAAACAUUAUACACUGAAAAAACUCAACAAUUUCCAAGUAAGAUGAACACAAAGAGACACAUCAUAGUAAAAA